AUUGAACGCUGGCGGCAUGCCUUACACAUGCAAGUCGAACGGUAACAGGCCGCAAGGUGCUGACGAGUGGCGAACGGGUGAGUAAUGCAUCGGAACGUGCCCAGUUGUGGGGGAUAACUGCCCGAAAGAGCAGCUAAUACCGCAUACGACCUGAGGGUGAAAGCGGGGGAUCGCAAGACCUCGCGCAAUUGGAGCGGCCGAUGUCAGAUUAGGUAGUUGGUGGGGUAAAGGCCUACCAAGCCGACGAUCUGUAGUUGGUCUGAGAGGACGACCAGCCACACUGGGACUGAGACACGGCCCAGACUCCUACGGGAGGCAGCAGUGGGGAAUUUUGGACAAUGGGCGCAAGCCUGAUCCAGCAAUGCCGCGUGCAGGAAGAAGGCCUUCGGGUUGUAAACUGCUUUUGUCAGGGAAGAAAUCCUCUGGGUUAAUACCCCGGGGGGAUGACGGUACCUGAAGAAUAAGCACCGGCUAACUACGUGCCAGCCGCCGCCGUAAGAC
rnacentral:rRNA from 1 species